UACGAAGGGGGCUAGCGUUGUUCGGAAUUACUGGGCGUAAAGCGCACGUAGGCGGAUAUUUAAGUGAGGGGUGAAAUCCCAGGGCUCAACCCUGGAACUGCCUCUCAUACUGGUAUCUCGAGUUCGAGAGAGGUGAGUGGAAUUGCGAGUGUAGAGGUGAAAUUCGUAGAUAUUCGCAGGAACACCAGUGGCGAAGGCGGCUCACUGGCUCGAUACUGACGCUGAGGUGCGAAAGCGUGGGGAGCAAACAGG
rnacentral:rRNA from 1 species